rnacentral:rRNA from 1 species
AACGUAGGACGCAAGCGUUAUCCGGAAUUACUGGGCGUAAAGCGCGUGUAGGUGGUUAUGCAAGUCAUUUGUGAAAGCUCCCGGCUAAACUGGGAGAGGUCAGGUGAGACUGCACAGCUAGAGGGCAAUAGAGGGGUGCGGAAUUCCGGGUGUAGUGGUGAAAUGCGUAGAUAUCCGGAGGAACACCAGAGGCGAAGGCGGCACCCUGGGUUGUACCUGACACUGAGACGCGAAAGCAUGGGUAGCGAACGGG